CCCAGAAGAUCGAAAAUUUAUAAUGUCUUAUGAACAAAAAAAGAUUUGUAUAUAAAGAACCAAGUGAUUUUAAACUUCUAAUGUUACAGUAUUUUCUAUCAAUAUUUCAUCAUAAGAAGUUGGUGCAGACACUUUGAGUCUUGCUCUGCUGGCACAGGUGAAAUCCAGGUGUAAUUCAGAAGGAUCAUCCAGCAGAGUCAGCUUAAUCAGAGCUUUCGUCAACUAUUGUAGAUUCUUUUGAAUCAAAACUCCCUAGUGUCUUCACCUCACCACUCAAAAUAACAAAAAUUGUCUCCAGAGCUGCAGCAUAGUGCACGCGGUCAGCUGACAGCAACUGCAGCAACAGGCAAGACUAAGCAAUGGGAGAACAAGGCAGUUACAAGAGAUGCCAGCUGACAGCUAGUCAGCCAGCACAAGCCACUGUGUGUUGCUUCUUCUCUGCCAUCUGCUGUGGUUGUGCACUUCCCUGCCUACUCAUGAUAGAAGAACUGUCUUUUCCUUCGUCCUGCUAAGCCUUCUUGACAACUGAUCCCCCUCAUACCACUGCUGGACCAGUGUCACAAGACUGCUGAGGAGAUGGGUGCCCUCUGCAGAGGACAGAACACCAACCCAGGAGUGGUGGCAGCUCAACACAGGACCAGGAGAUGGCCAGGAAUGGAGUCCUCCACUUUCUCCUUCUAGUCUGAGAAGACAAGAAGAUAAACAAGCAAAAUGUCUGUGAUGGCACUAGGUAGCCGCCUAGUGUAAGGACAAUCUUAUGACUUAUCCAGAUUCAGCUGCCCUCCAGCUACAGGACAAGACUGCAAGGAAUUACAGGAAAAGAAACACAGGGCAGAAAUUCUCAGGUGUGGUCCUGAGAAAGAUGGAAAUUUUGGCAAAACAAGAUGGACGUGUUAAAAAACAUUGCUGUAAGUUCUUUGACAGGCGCAGACUCCUUGGAUGAAACAAGAAUGUGUGGGGUGCACUGUGCUCGGGUUUUAUUUUGGAGGUUCUUGGCAUACUGUGUGAUUCCACUCUCCCCAAAAUCCCUGGUUCAUGCUGUGUGCUUGUUCUCUGAACAAACAUUUCUUUUUAAACUAUAAUAUGUGGCAUUUCCUACCUAUCAAGUGUACUAAAGCAAUUGUGUUCCAUGGUAAAUAAAGGAAAUAGCUGGGUAAGUAAAAACGUGUUUCUUAACAACCUUGUUUGUGCCAAAAUUGCAAAAUAAAUCUUCACAAGGCAUAGGGCUGCAAGUAUUUGAAUCGCAUUUGGACAGCAAAGCCCAAUGCACGCAGCUGUAAUUACAAUGUUUCUCGCAAACACAGUCUUUCUCUCAUGUUUUUCUGAACAUUGUUUAAAGAACUGAUGAAAGGGCUGAAAACUUUUCAAACUUUCCUCUUCUUAGGGUCUCUUCAGCUCAGUCUUUCAUCACACAGUCAAUAAACGGUUGAAAAGGACUCUUCUGAACUGCAGUAGGAGGGAGGAAGAAGAGGGGAAAUUAAUGAUAUCACCAAAUUGAAAUUCUUUUAAGUUCCCUUUAAUUGCAGAGGGCACAGGGAGCUCAUUCAAUUUUUAAUUCUCUGAUCUUUCGCUCUCCCCAAAGGGACCAGUCUUCCUCUCCUCCCACGUUGUACGCGAUUUUCCCAGAGCACUGAGCCUGGCAAAUCAAAACAGGAUGGAUGCCCAGCUCCCUCCUCGAGACUCCUCCACUGUGCUGAGCCCUUCCCAAUGGGAUUAUGGCAGUGGAGAAGCAGUGCGAGCUGCCUGUGAUCCAGGGAAGGCAAGGCCAGGUCAGUAGAGCAGCUCCCCUGUAAGCCCCAAGGUCUUUCUCUGGGUAAGGAAAGGAGAGGAGGAUCUUUACAGAGGGAAGAAUAAGUGAACCUUGGCCACAAACACCGAGCAGCCUUUGCAUCCACUUCUGAGUACCCUCUGGCUUUCUAAAACAACAGCCCUAACAUCGUGUCCUCCACUCUUCUCACUUUCCAACCACACUCUUGCUCAUACCUGUGGCCUCAGCGAUGUGUCACCCAGGACUCCCACCCUCCCGUGCAGCACCCUAAUUUUGGGUAGGGCUCCAUGUGCUUUUCACCCUUUUAUGGUCCCACACCGGACUUCUGUGCAGCUUCGUCGCCUGACCUUCACCUUUGACCACUUCUUCACACUAGAUAUGGAAUAAAGUCAGAGACAUCCUCUAAAUAAAGCUCUUAUCACUUGAUUUGAAGUGGUAGGACCUUUCGUGCAGCCUGGGGUGCCUGAGCUGUGACCAGACCCCACUUGGAUGCCAGGAUGCUCCGGCCUCAUGCUGGUGCCUGUUCUGCCGUUGGUGUGCAGCACUCACCAUACAGGAGUGCUUCCUACUCGUUUUAGCCACUUGGUAAGCUGUUCUCCCUAUUUUUUUAACUUUCAGACCAAAAGAUAAACUUUUUUGAACAGAAUGGAGGGGGUAUGGAAAGCUAUAUUGCAUUUAGGCCUAUUGUACUGAAGCUAGGUAAGGAAAUGCACACAGAAGCAUUUCAGCAUUAUUUUAGAAGUCACUUCUAAAUAAUUGGCUUCCUUAGGAAGAAAUUAUGACACUUUUUGGACCUUUGUGAAAUAUCAUUCUUGUUAGAAAUGUCCUUAUGUGGUAUCUUUCCAUCGUGUCAGUCCUGAUUAAACGCAGCCUGUGGCUGGCAGGUGUGUCUGGUUCAGUGCUGUCCAUCUGUGAGAUGCUGAGAAUUAUAUAUCCGAGUAGAUGUAAGUUAAAAGAGAAAACAAUGAAAACCCCAAGACUGCCAGAACAUUGCCACUACCCACCGAGGAGCUACUCAAGUAAAUGCAUCAAGCAUGCACUGGCUGUCUUUUUCCUCCAGGAUGUAUCGCUGCAACAGGCUGAAAAACGCUCAAAGAGCCAGUUCUGCCAUUUAAAAAACCCAAGCAUUCUAAUUGCAACAGGUCCAUGGGCAGAAACAUGAAUUAUAAAGCUUUAAAUUCAAGUCACACUGAUAAGUACAACAAAUAAAGAGACCAAAUUCCCUUAAAAAAUGGGAUUACAGAGGCGGUGAGGAGGAAAUAUCCCGAAGGAAGUUAAAAAGAAGUUAAUCUGCUUUUAUGUAAUUUGUUUCCCUAUUCUUCCUGAACUGACUUGCUUUGGAGACAGCUGCUUUCAAGGUUUACAGCCAUGCAUAUUGUUAGGAGGGCUGGAACUGGCAGCCGGUUGCUUGACAGAAUAAUGGCUAACUGGAAAAAUAGCUGGCUAUAUAAUUUACAGAUCAAAAUGACCACAUCAAAAUCAGUGAAACACAAACUAUUCAUUUUUACAGUCUCCAGAUUGCUGCCUGUUGUGAUCUGUUCCUCCUGAUUGCCCCCCCCGUUGUGCUGCUGAUCACCUCUCCUCCCACCACCACCCGCAGCAGACAGGACAACGAUGAGCCACGGCCAUGUGGGGCAGGAUAAGAUGGAGAUCUCAAUUUCUGGAGGUUUGGAUAUUUUAGAUAUGGAUGGGAGCCAAAACAUCGCUACCACCAGGUCCAUGUCUAUGCAAAAAGUGGGUGUGCACAUCAGUGGCACAGUGGAUGCCCCAUGGUCUGUAACCCAUAGCUCAUUCAUCUCUCAAUCACUGCCUGGGCUUCCAGCCCUGUGGCAUCUCUUGGGGCUCUGAAACCUACUGGGCUGUCUGACCUCCAGCUCCCAAGGCUGCCCGUGCUUUGCAAGGAGCCAAGCGGCCCUCAGCUGGUAGUUUUGCAAGUCUUGAAGUCUGGGUGUGAACCCAAACUGUCUAAGGUGAAGCAAUCACAAAUACAGUAAUACAACUGGUAAAGACAGAGUCUGGUUACACCAGCAGUAUUAGAAAUUCUGCAAAUAUCCCUGUCUUUCCUGUUGGAAAAUUGACUGAAAAGAGUUGCCCUUAAAAAAAGCAAGUGCUUUCUAAACGUACUGUUACUUUAAAUCUGGGUAGGACCUCUUCUUCAUGCUGUUUUUCUCUCGAUUUUUCUCAGUGGGGAAAUAACAGUAAAAAGCGUGAGAAAGUGGGGACCAUGAAAUGCAGACAUGGAAUAUGAAAAAAGGUCUUUUUCUAAAUCUGGAAACAUUUCAUCUCUAAUCUAUACAAGUAUCCAUUUAUUGUGAUCAUACCAGUUCCUAUUUUCUCACUGGAAAAAAACCCAGAAAGUGUUCUGUUAAGCUUUUUGUUCCUCUCCCCCAAAAAUAGAGAAGUGGCAAAACCCAAGGACACAGAAAAGUGAUUAGCGUUGUGGCAGAUGGAGACUGUAUCUCUUCAUUCCUGGGAUCACAAAUGGAGGCUUCUUUGCUCACAAAUGUCCAUGUUACCCUUGAGGUGACGUGAAUAAUCUGUCCUACCCUAUGUGUUGAAAAUAUCUCUGUUCAAGAAACAAAUGCCAAUCUCAUUGAGGCAUUAGUCUCAAUUGUGUUCUGCUUCUGGGUUGAAGAUUUUAUUAGGUUAAACUCUUCUCAGCUCCCCCUGACACUAUUGCUCUGUUUGUUAUCCUUCACUUAGGGAGUUCAGCUGGCCAGCAUGAACUGUCUUGAUUUUUUUCUUGUCACAAAUUCAUGGCUUCACCAGGUAAGCAAUAUGUUAUGUUUGAAAUAUAUUCUGCAUGGGUUGGAGAGGGUUAUGUCGCUGUUGAAUCUCUCGAAAGAGCCCAAGCAGCACGCAGACUAGCACGGAGCACUGAUAUUGAUUUCUCCAGCAGCAUUGUGUUACAGAGCGUGCCCUUGCAAAGAAGGAAAUUACUCCAGUGGUUGCAGUAAGUGUGGAAGCUGCCAUGUCAUUUAACAGUCGUGGUGCCAGGGCUUUUAUAGAGUGUAAUCCAACUCUUUUGAAAUUCUGCUGAAGGAUGUUUAAGCUAACAAGGCUCUGAGCUCUCUGAUGAAGCACACCAUGCACAUUAGCUUUAUUGUCAAGACAGGGCGGAGAGCAUUUAUUGCUUUUGGCUCAUGUGCAGUGCAGAAUUAUUCUGAGAGUUUACAGAAGACUGUCUGUUUGUAGCUGAAAGUGAAUUAUUUGCUCAUUAGUGGUUCAAAAAGGUCUUCUUGCUCCAACAAUGUGAGACAGCUUGGGCUCUUCUGUGUGGUGAAAUGUGCUUGCUUUAGCCUAUGCUCAACAGAGGCUCAGAGCAUCUUCAAAGUGGUCUAGAGGACGUAGGAUUCAGAAAACCUGCAGCUAUUGUAAAAAAAAAACCAAAAACCAUUAAUCUCUCUCUCUUUUUUUGUUGCUUUUACUUGCAGCACCACCAUCCCACUCUGGGGUCUUUGCAUGCCAGAGGAAGGAUGUGGAGACAGAGGGCAAUGAUGAUCUGGCUGGCAUUGGCCUGUCUCAUCACUUAGUGUUCUUCAGUGUAUUGGUUGUGGUGAGCUUAGCCCAGCUUCAGUAGCCUACUAUGAUUUCAGAUUUUAUAUACACUUUGCACCUCUUAAAAACCCUUCUCUGAAUAAAAAAAAAAAAAUGGUAGAUGGCAGCUUAUGAGAAGAAAACAGCUCUUCAGUGCCGGGUUUAAGCAAGUACAUAAAUUUUCAUUAUGUCUACAUAUAAAAAGACAACUACUAUUUCAAAGGGAAACAGCAAUAUGCUUAAUACUCCCCUGAGCUGGCAUCAGGUGUCUGAACCCCAGUCAAUUAGAAUUUCUUAGGUUUGAUCGGGGCAGGUCGCUGCACCAUGCCUUCCCCCGUGCCCCCAGCCACUCGCAUCCUUCAGCUGCAGCUUAUGCAGCUGCACCCAGCAGUGGGGUUUGGACAAUCCCUGAGCCAGGGCAAGAGCUAGUGAGCUUGAGGAGGGGGUUGUACGCUGAAAGCUACAGCCUGCCUUUUUCUGCUAGUCCCAUGGGAUGCCACACAAGCUCUGUCAAAUUGCAAAGCUGGUUUUCUGAGUGUUUAGCAGGGACUUAGGCAAACAUGCUUUUCUUAGGAAAAGAACAUGAAUUUUCCAUGGACUUAUAUUUAUUUGUUUCAGGAAACUGCAGCACUGUUAGUUUUCUCUGGUAUGAUUUCUGAUAUACAAAGGUGGGAUAUUUAGCAAUAUGAAAACAGCAUUACCAUAAUGAGGUACAGAAAUCCUUUACUGCCAGCCCCAUCAGUGGAGUGAUAAAUGCAGGAAACCAUUGCCCAGAUGUGGACGGCUGUGUGGACAUGGAACUCAAUGGAUAUUUGAGGUGUGGGUUACUGCAGGGAUGGCUUAUUUGUGUAUAGAAAGGCACAUUGUCGGGUAUGGACUUGAGAUGAGUUUUGCACCACUCUGUUUUCAGUGGAAGGAAACUAUUUUAUAGCAGUGACUGAAAACUCUUGUAGGAAAAGCUGUCAAUGAUGAACCUAGAGCCUGGUGUCCACUUACUGUGCCAUUGAUGUAUAAAACCAGGGGUUUGAGUUCUACUUCCUCUCUAUUUUAUCUGUUUAAACCACUGGGAACGAGGAUUAGUCUUUACUUUGAGAUUUUAAUAUUCAAGGAUGGAUUAAGGCAACAGCAUGCUGAUGUUAGAUGACCAUAAAAUACUAAAUUCUAUCAAAGCCUCCAGCAGCAUUAGUCAAAUCAAACUGUAAGUCCUAAAAGCUUUAUACUUUCUCAAAAAUAAUUACGCCACGGUGUCACCUUUGAAGCGGUGUUGUUCUUUGCUCAUCAAUAAAUGAACAAUUCCUGGAUACGUCAGCUGGAGGUGUUCUGGCCAAGGGAGGGACCAAGCUAUAAAGGAAAAGCAGAUUCUUCUGGCUGAAUUACAAAACCACUAAACAAAAUGGAAACGUUGAUGUUCAUUAUUGAUUUUAUUCUUUGCUGCCAUGGAAUGGUGCUAGUGGGAGCUGUUGUAAUCAGAUUACUUUAAAACUUACUUACAGAAGGAAGUGCUUAAUUUAUCCCCCUUAUUUCCUUUCCCAAAGUGAUAUGAUAUCCAGGUAUCAGCUGUGUUUCUUAUAAUAUAGUCCUUCUCUUUUUGUUUCUUUUCACUGUUUCUGUAACUCAUUUCUUAUCACACCCUUUGAUCUUUAUUUAAAUAAAUUACGUUUGAUCUCCUAAAGUAAUCAUUCAUGUUUGUUAUGGGAUAGCAUAGACAAUGAUUGUUGAAGAUAUAAUCCAAAGUAGUUCUGGAUUUCUGAAAAUAUCUAUUGAAAACUACAUUUACUGAACAUUCAUCUGAAACUCCCUGUAUUGUCAAGUCACAGAUAUGUGCCUUUACAGCCUUUAUGUCUUUGGGAUUCAAGUCAGAUGACAGGCUGAUACUCGUUUAACUGAGAAUCUGGGAAAUGCUGCAUUUUGAAUGAUACAUCCUCUCAAUCUGGGAGGUUAAAUGGCUUUUCUGAUUUGAUUCUUUACCGCCUUCCCUGUUUUGCAUCAGAUCAAAUCGGAUGUAAAAUGAUAGGAAAUCCAAAUGGCAGGUUUGUCUUCCCACCCUCCACUCAUUUGUAGUGGUGUGAGUGAUUGCAGUGAGCACAACAGAGAAAGAAUAAUUAGGCCUUAAUUGCCUCUGAUUAGUCAUAUGUAAUAUACCAAUAUUAGUGGCAAUUUCAAUGGGCCAAGUGUCUGUGGAAGCUAUCCCUCUUCGUUAAUCAAAGAUGUUUGUGAGGCAACCAUGAUGUGUGUUACCAAACUGCUGCUUCUGUUCCAGUGCAAGAGCAAACCCAGGUCAGCAGCAGCCGGUCAGAGAUGUCUUGAGGGGUAACUGCGCUGUGUUCCGUGGGCAGCACUGGGAACGCACCUCCAGCAUCUCCCAUGUUCUUGUUCUGCUCAAAUUCAUGUUGACUCUGUCUCUCCAUCGUCUGGAGCCCAAGAUGAAUACCCGAGCCUGGGAAACAUUUGGACGGGGACGAACUGCACCUGUGCUCAGCCCUGACACCGUCACUUCCCUGCCCAAAGUACACCAUCUCCCUGCAAAAACAUAUCCUCCCAUGGCCCACUCCAAUGUUCACUUGACAUGGUGAACACUUCCUUUUCAAAUGAACAAGAUUUUUAAGAUCUGAAGCCAAAUUUAACCCUCUCCUUGCUGUGUCCUGGUUGCAUUCCCUGCCACUGCUUGGCAGUGAGUGGCUCUGAAUCCAGCUUUUCCCGUCAGUCUCUCCCUGACCACCACUAACUACCUUUGAAAGGAGUAAUGAGGUUUUGCUGACUUAGCUGGAUGGCAGCAUAUCUUGAUACCUGCCUCUCAUAGCCUGGCUUGUGGGUUUAUAAUGAUGUAUUGACUCUAGCACCUAGAGUAAAUGAAUUAUAUUAAGCCUCUGCAUAUAGUCAUAAAUAUGAUAGUCCGUGUGAACUGAGGUAAUUGCCUGCUUUAUAUAUGUGUUUAUCUUCGCUGCAUUGCAUAUGCAAUGUGUAUUAUGUCAAAAAGAUGAUAAAAAGUGGCCAUAAUGCUCCUGAACGGCAUAAGUCUUUUUAGUUUAUGACUGAGGCUUGGAGUUAUCUUAUGCAAAGUUAGCUGCAGUAUGUUUAAUAUAAAUUAAUAUACUUAUAAAAUGUCAAGGAGCAUUAAUUGAUAAUUUCUGAGGCCCACCUUGCUAAAUGCCAAUUCAGUUCUGAAACCUGUCUCUGCAAGUUUAAUAUAUGGAAAAUAAUGCUUAUUCAUGAAUGGCUUAUGUAACUUGGAAUUAAUUACAUGGCAGCUACAGCGAGCUGUUACAGAUGGUCUUUUUAUAAAAUGAGGUGCCAAAAAUAAAGUUUCGAGCUCCACAAGGGAACUUCUGCGCUGGGUAUUCAGCACUUUGUAAAACCAGGGCGCAUCAUCUUAUGUGUAAAUAUCGACUUACUAACCUCAUUCUGGACCCACUUUUGAAAGAGAACUGACCUAUAUAAAAGUAUUUAACAUCAGCGGCUCCUCCUGCAUUUUCAAUGUGUGUGGUAGACAAGGUGUGCGGCAGAAACCCAGUGUACCGCCAGCCCAUCUGCUCCACUGCCAUUUUCCUCAUUGGGAAAAUGGAGGUAACACUGAAUAUCUCCAGCUGAAAAACGUGAAACAAGCUAAGAUUUACUUAUUUCAAUUGUUGGUUGGUUCCUUUGCCUGUUCUACAGCCUGAGCAGCGUUACAGCUGGUAGUAGUCAGCGCAAUGGGCCAGUUUGAAGCACCCAGAUGAAUACUAAUUGUUGAUUAAUGUAGGCCUGAGCUAUAAAAAACAAUCCAGUUUCUCUCUUUGCUGCUUUUGCCAGGCACCAGGAAAAUGAUGCUAUCUCUGUGAGAAGGUUAUCUGCUCCUCUUUCCAUCUAGCACAGCUCCAACAGUAGUUGUGG